rnacentral:rRNA from 1 species
CUGGCGGCGUGCCUAACACAUGCAAGUCGAACGAGAAAGUGGGCAACCAUGAGUAAAGUGGCGACCGGGUGAGUAACACGUGACUAACCUACCUUUCAGUGGGGAAUAACCUCGGGAAACCGGGGCUAAUACCGCAUAAUGUCUUCGGACCAAAGGAGCAAUUCGCUGGAAGAGGGGGUCGCGGCCGAUUAGCUAGUUGGCGGGGUAACGGCCCACCAAGGCCAUGAUCGGUAGCCGGCCUGAGAGGGCGCACGGCCACACUGGAACUGAAACACGGUCCAGACUCCUACGGGAGGCAGCAGUGGGGAAUUUUGCGCAAUGGGGGAAACCCUGACGCAGCAACGCCGCGUGGAGGAUGAAGCCCCUUGGGGUGUAAACUCCUUUCGAUCGGGACGAUGAUGACGGUACCGGAUGAAGAAGCACCGGCUAACUCUGUGCCAGCAGCCGCGGUAAUACAGAGGGUGCAAGCGUUGUUCGGAAUUAUUGGGCGUAAAGGGUGCGUANGCGGUGCGGUAAGUCUGUGGUGAAAUCUC